GCAGAACCGGUGAAGAUUUGGGGACGGGACGAGGCGGCCGCGACCCUGCCGGAGUCCGGGGGGGACCUCCAGAAACCCGGGGGGUCCCUGACUCUCGUGUGCCGCGCAUCCGGCUUCGAUUUCGGGAAUUACGGAAUGUUCUGGAUGCGGCAGAGCCCCGGGAAGGGGCUGGAAUUCGUCGCACAGAUCAGCAGCGGUGGCAGCACCGGAUACGCGCCAUCGGUCAAGGGCCGGUUCACGAUCUCCAGGGACAACGGGCAGAGCUCGGUGACGCUGACCAUGACCAACCUCAAGGACGACGAUUCCGGCUCCUAUUUCUGUGCCAAGGCUGCUGGUGCUGGUGGUGGUUACUGGAGUGUUGGUGCUUAUGCUGCUGGUGCUCGUGGCGCUGAUUCCUUUGGUGGUUUUGGCCCCAUCACCGCGUCCCCUCCCAUUGAAACGCACUCAAAGGAAUUGAACUGGAUUGAACUGGAUUGA